rnacentral:rRNA from 1 species
GCCGGAUUAGCUGAGAGGUGGUGCAUGGCCGUCGUCAGUUCGUACUGUGAAGCAUCCUGUUAAGUCAGGCAACGAGCGAGACCCACGCCCACAGUUGCCAGCGUACUCUCCGGAGUGACGGGUACACUGUGGGGACCGCCGCUGCUAAAGCGGAGGAAGGAAUGGGCAACGGUAGGUCAGUAUGCCCCGAAUAUCCCGGGCUACACGCGAGCUACAAUGGUUGGUACAAUGGGUAUCUACCCCGAAAGGGGACGGAAAUCUCCUAAAACCAAUCUUAGUUCGGAUUGAGGGCUGCAACUCGCCCUCAUGAAGCUGGAAUCCGUAGUAAUCGCGUUUCAACAGAACGCGGUGAAUACGUCCCUGCUCCUU